UUUUAUCAAAUCGACGACGUAUCAAAAUAAUAAACCAGCCGCGGUCUGUUCGGCUCCCGGUGAAAAACCCGGGAAAAGAUGGUGGAAUAAUUUCCUGUGCUCCAAAUUAGAACUUUCAAUCUUCGAAACCCUAAAACAAAUUCACAAAUUCAACUAAAAUUGAAACCAUGAACGCUGACAUUCCAAAUCCAAGUUAUUCAACAGAGAAACAAUGGGGAGAGAAAGUAUCAGAGAAAGUGAUGUCAGCAUACAAAUCUCUCCCUAAAAAAGGAAAGCCUCAAGGUUGCGAAGUCACCGUCUUAGCUUCAUUUCUCCUUUCCUCUCCUUCUCAAGAAUUGGAAGUUGUUGCGUUGGGGACCGGUACGAAAUGCAUUGGACGCUCACUUCUGAGCAACCGCGGUGAUAUUGUCAAUGAUUCACAUGCUGAGAUUAUUGCUAGAAGAGCUUUAAUUAGGUUUUUCUAUGCGGAGAUUCUACACAUUAUUCGCGGUUCAUCUGAGGAUGGAUGUAAUAAUGGAAGCAAAGAAGUGAAAAUUAAUGAUGGCAGUAACUGGAUUUUUGAACUGGAACAGCGUGGCUGUAGUGAAGAGAAGUUUAAGUUGAGAGAGGGUUGGCAAUUGCAUCUGUACAUUUCACAAUUGCCAUGCGGGGAUGCUUCUGUAAGUUCACUGUUGUCUCCUGCGAGAAAUGUUUUCACAAGAGAAGGGGAUCUGCCACCAUCCCUAUUUGAGAAUGGUUCGACAAGUGACCUUUCGGAGGUUACAAAAGAGAAUAAUGCAGGUAGACUUUCCACUAAUGGCUCACAAAUCAGUGGCAUGGUUCAGAGGAAGCCUGGUCGUGGUGAUACAACAUUGUCAGUUAGCUGCUCUGACAAAAUAGCUCGGUGGAAUGUUGUUGGAGUUCAAGGAGCUUUGCUUUCCUACUUUCUUCAACCUGUUUACCUUUCUUCGGUAACCGUUGGGCAAUCCUCUAAUAGUCCGAAAAACUUUUGUCUUGAAGAUCACUUGAAAAGAGCCUUGUAUGAUCGAAUCCUGCCAUUGUCGAAUGAACUAGUUUCUCCUUUCCAUCUAAACAAGCCACUUUUUUAUGCAGCUCCUGAGCCACCCAUGGAAUUUAAGCAUGCUGACACUGCUCUAGUAACUUUGACAUGCGGGUAUUCCGUAUGUUGGAGCAAGUCUGGCAUGCAUGAAGUCGUCCUUGGGACCACUGGAAGAAAGCAAGGCACUUCUGCUAAGGGGGCACUUUCUCCAGCAACCAUGUCCUCUCUAUGCAAAAAGCGGUUAUUGGAGGUUUUCUUGACAUUAAAGCAGGAGUUCCAGAGCAAAUGCCCAGCCAAAGAUAUUUCUUAUCGAGAACUCAAGGUUCUGCAUUAUUUCCUGAGAUUCUUAUUCCUGUUGGUUUUCUUUCUAAAUAAUAGUUUGAUGAUGUCUUGCUUGAAUGGGAUAAACUUUUCAUUGAAACGCUAUAAGCUGUGUUGAUAAAUUGUAAAUGUCCAUGUUGUUUGUGGAUUUCACAUUUUUCACUGGCUCUUGUCUCUUCCAUUAGUUUGCAAAUUCAGGCAGCAUAAACCAAUCUUCUCUUAUAAUAAUAAAUGUACGUCAACAUUAUGUGCAGAAUUUAAGUUCUUGGUUUAUCUGAAGAUCAACAUUAUGGUUCUUGUUGCUAGUACAGUAAGAUUGACCUCCAGUAUGAUCAUAUGCUAAUUCCCAAGCUUCAUUUUCGUAGCCAUAUUAAGUCUGCAAUGUAUACAUGUAUGACUAUUGAAUCUCAUCUUACUACUUUAGUAAAUUCUCUUGCAGAACAAUGCUCAAGCGUACAGUUCAACUUCAAAAUCUUUUAAAGAAAGUGCGGCAUUUAACAAUUGGCCAUUGAAACCCUUGGACUCUGAGGCCUUCUCCAUUUUGAGGGAGUGAGGCCUCCCAGGAACUUGAUAUAGUAUCAAGUGUUGCUGAUGAGGAUCUGUGUCUAUCAUCCACAUUUUUGGCAGACCAUUCACAAAGGGGGAGCACAUCUUUUGCUGGAACCGUGAUGGAUGCUUUUGCACCAUUUGCUGCUUCAUGACAUUCUCACGGCACAUCGUAUGAACUCCUGAACUGUUCUAACAUCCUCCAGAGCUGCUGUGAUGAGAGCUCACAAUUUCUUCGUGGCAGAGCCACAUAACUAGUGAGUGCUGCAAUAACAUGUUAAAACACACUGCCAUAACAUUUUAGGUGAACCUCUCUAUAAUGCCCACGUACAUGUGAUUUGACGUUGAUUUUGUACUCUUUAAGUAUCUGAAUUGCGGGCACUUGAAAAUUCCAAA